UGGUAGGUGCUCAACCUGUGAUGGCAAC
rnacentral:piRNA from 1 species